rnacentral:rRNA from 1 species
UAGAAACUAACAUCAAAAAUUAUUUAUUAAAAAUAAUAAAGUAUUUCAAAGGGGUUAUUAAGGAUAAUUAGCAAAUUUAUAAAUUAAGGAGGCAGUGACCUAAUGCUACAUAAAUUAAGUGGCAAUCCUAAGGGAAACCUUUUAUAUAAUACUUCCUGAAGUAAAUCAUUUUAGUAAGGAAAGGAAAGGAAAUCAACCGAGACUCCGAAAGUAAUGGUGAGUGAAAUCGGAUUAGCCUGUGAGAAUUCUAAAAGUGAAAAUAACCAAAGAAGGUCCAAACCAUAGUCCUGUAACUUUUAUUAAUAAUCACUUAAACAACAAACUAUUAAUUGUUUUUAACCAACACGGCCCUCUCCUCUGUACCUGCAUUAAAAAUGCUGUUGCACCUCUACACUCCUAUUAGCCUUUAUGGUUAAGAAAGAUGUAGGGGGAGGGGUGGAUCAAACUGUUUUGUUUUAGCAAUAUACUCUUAGAGCCUAAUUAUUUCUCUCUGAAAAUUAAACCUUGCCUUACCUCCUUCGUAAGAAAGAUGUGGGGGUCCCUAUAAUCAAAAGAUCUUGGGUCGGUUUACAUUUAAGUUAUGAUAAUACUCCGUUCUUUAGUAAGAGUAAACGUAGUUUUGAUCUGUUUAAUUUUUAUUUACGUUAAUUCUUUUCUUCUUCAUUAUUCUUUUUAUAAGAAUUUUAAAGGAGUGGGUAAUAUUAAUGUAGUUAUUAAGUAAUAGAUUUUAAAAUUUAAACUUAAUAAAAUUGGUUGUUAAUCAAUUUGUAAAAAUACGAUGAGAGAUAACUUGUCGGAAUAUAGGGGAACCAUCCUCUAAGGCUAAGUAUUAUAAAUUUAGCGAUAGUGAACAGUACUGUAAAGGAACAUGUGAAAAAGUAGAAUAUAAAAUUAGUGAAAUAGACAAUGAAUUAGUAACUCUAUAAGCAGCCGGAAUUAAAUAAACAAUGACGGCGUACCUUUUGCAUAAUGGGUCAGCAAGUUAAUAGGAAUAGCUAGGUUAAAAGCCUUAGCGAAAGCGACUCAACUAAUUUAGGAGAAUAAAAUAAGUAGAACUUUAAAAAUAAUAUUUAUUUUAUAAUUUAUUUUGAUUAAUAAUAUUAAUUAAAAAAGAGUAGCACCUUAUGUUAAUUUAUUUUAAUAUUAAUGUAAGUUGUUAUUUGCUAAACAAUAGUGUGGGGUAAGUUAUUUCUAUUAGACCCGAAGCUAGAUGAUCUUUCCAGGGCCAGAUUAUUAAGGAUCGAACGGGUGAAUGUUGCAGAAUUCUCCGAUGAGCUCUGGAAAGCGGUGAAAUGCCAAUCUAAUCUAGUGCUAGCUGGUAUUCUUCGAAACAUAUGUAAGUAUGACAUCUAAUAAAAUUUAUGGAGGUACAGCACGGAAAUUUCGAACAAGCAAUAGUAAACUAACCCCUCCUCUAACCUCUUUCGAAAGACAGAUGUAGGGUAGGGAAUUAGCAAAUUAUUGUGCGUUUAGGUUGCGGGGAUCUAGUAAAUCUUACCAAUGGAAUUUAAACUCGGAAGUACAUAAAUUGAUGUUGGAUAUUCAGACUGCUCAUGAUAAGUUGAGUAGUCAAGACGAAAACAGUCGAGAACACGUAUUAAGGUCCCAAAUGAUUAUUAAGUGAAAUUAAGGAUGUCACAUAUUGUAUGCAGCUGUAAAGUGAGCCUGGUAGUCGCUACUUUUAAUGAUCGUUGUAACAACGCAUCAGCUCUUUAGAUUGUGGCACCGAAAAUUUAACGGGUCUGAAAUAAUCAACCGAUAUCGUGUUGGUUAAGAAAUUAAAAUAUUAUAAAAUAUAAGUUUAAAAAAAUUAACUAAGUAUUUAAAAACAAAUAUUUUCUUAACCUAGGUAGAAGAACAUUCAGGAACGGAAGAUACACAGUGUUUCAUUGUGAUUGACGAACUGAAGAGAGAAUGCUGACAUGAGUAACGUAAAAAGAAGUUUUAAUACUUCUCGCCGAAUACGAAAGGGUUGUAAGUAAGGUUUAAACCGACUUAUGUUAAAUGCGGGUCUCUAAGGUACAUAACCAACGUUAUGACUGAUGAGGAAGUGAUAGUAAUGUCCUAAUGGAAGAUUGGACCAAGAAAAUAAAUCACUCUAAAGAAUUAAUAAUAACAUUUAAGAAGGUCACAUUUUUAAAUAAAUGGACUGUAAAUAUUCUAAUUUAAGUUUAAAUGUUUGUUUUUAUGUUUAGGAGAAAUAUCUAAAUAAAACUUAAGUAAAAGAACUACCGUACCCUAAACCGACACAGGUUCGUAAGUAGAGAAUACUAAGGCGUAGAGCUAAAAGUUGUAAAGGAACUCGGCAAGAUGUCCUCAUAAGUUAGACGAUAAGAGGAACCAAAAAAAUUAAUUUACGAUAUAAUAGAAAAAUCUUAACCUACUAUCUCUGUCUACUAUAAUUAGUAAUAAUUAUUGGAUAGGGUGCAUCCGUAGAUGCUAGGAUAAGUUGACAUUUAUACCCUACCCCUUCGGGGGGGUGGUGUAGUGUUCUGAAUUUUAUUACUAUCGAUUAUUAUUCCCUUGAUCAUUUAUUAUUUAAUAAUUAGUGUUACGGAUGUUAAACUCAGUUAAUAUAACUUUUUAGGACAUUAUAUUAGCUUAUUAAUAUCUUUUUAUAGAUAAAAUUGAAGAAAUUUAUUUUUAUUUGUAAAGCACAAAGUUUUAAAUUAAUAAUUGAUUAUUACAGUAAUAAAGUCAGCCAUGAUAAAUUAUAAUAGUUUGGUGUCACAGAAUCGGAGGCCUCGACUGUUUACUAAAAACACAAGAAUGUGCAAUGAUAAAAGUCAUAGUAUACGUUCUGAAAUUUGCUCGAUGCCAUUAAUAUAAAAGAGGUAAUAGGUAACUGUUACUAAUUGAAAAUCUGGUUAAUAGCGGUCUUAACUAUGAGGAUCCUAAGGUAGCGAAAUAAAUUGGCCAUUAAAUGUGGUCCGGUAUCAAUAAUGUAACGAAGGUCUCACUGUCUCUACAACUUGCUCAGUGAAAUUGAAUUACCCGUGCAGAUGCGGGUUACCCCCAGUGGGACGGGAAGACCCUAUGCAGCUUUACUGUAGUUAGUUAAUACGCUGAUCUAGAACAAUUCCAAACAAUAGUGAUUAGGUAGUCGAUAGACGCAAAACCCGCAAGGGCACAUCGAAAGAUGUAGUGGAAACCUCCAGAUUGGAGUUGGGUCAGUGUUUACCUUGUUCUAGCUAAAAUACUAAUUAUAAAUUAUUCUUAACCAAACCUUUACACCUUGUUCUACAACCUCUUGUUCUAUUGCUAAAACGAUAGUUUCAAGGGCGCAUCCUUCGAAAGAUAGUUGCAGGGGAGCAAGGCCACAUUCCUUUAGGGGGGUGUGGAGUAGAGGAGCUUAAGUUAACUCGCUAACCAAUAAAAUUAUUUAAUUGACAAUGGAUAGUCGCUGUUUAUAUCACCAAGUUAGGUGGGGUAUAUACGGAUAAAUUAAUUAGGAAUAUUUUUAGAUAUAGAAAUAGGGAGAGUUGACUAAUUGGCAGUUUGACUGGGGCGGUCGUCUUUAAUAAAGUAGCAAAGUACAUCCACAGAUUUAAUAUUAACAAUUAUUACAAUAUUUAAAAAUAUUGCACACCAAAAAGAUUAUUAGAUGGUAUAAAUUGAUUAUAUCCUCACCUUAUCCUUUUUAAAGGGUGGGAAGGGUUUAAUUGUUUUAUAUAAAAUAUUCUAAAUUAAACUAAACUUUAAUACAUCAAAUAUAUAUUUUUACAUAAAAUAUUAUCAUUUAAAGGUAUAGCUAGAAAUCGAAUGGAGAUCAAUCAACCAGUGUAAAGGUUGCGCAGAGUGUAAUGGCGGAAAGCAUACCUAACUGACAGACUCAAAAGUCGAGCAGAUACGUAAGUAGGGCAUAGUGACCCCUCGCUAUAAUAUGGAAUAGACGGGGAUCAUUUGAUAAAAGUUACGCUAGGGAUAACAGGCUGAUAGCCGGCGAGAGUACACAUUGUCCCGGCUGUUUGGCACCUCGAUGUCGAUUCAUCCUAUCCUCCGGGGGAAGAAGCUUGGAAGGGUUGGGCUGUUCGCCCAUUAAAAGGGUACGUGAAUUGGGUUUAAUACGACGUGAGUCAGUAUGGUCCCUAUCUUCUGGGGGGACAAUUAGUAAAAAGGGGAAGACCUUCUAGUACGAAAGGAUCAAUAGGCUGUGUUUCUAUAGUGUACCAAUUGUUGAAAUCGAAUAUAAUAUAAAAACCACAAAUUUCGUCUUUGUUUAUUUUGGUUUGGUUCCGCCGCAAACCCUCUAUACCCUAAAGGUUAGAAGUAAGGUGGUAGGGAUUGGUUUAUUUAUAUCUUUAUAAGUUUAAAUAAAUUAUUAUAUUUUAUUUGGUGUGGUAAUUAUCUAUUUUUUAGAUAAUACAAACAUUGUAUUAAUAUAAUUACCUUAAAAUAUGAUGCUUUAAAAUUCUGGCUCGCCACCAACCGAAGUGGAGAGAAAGGAUGCAUUAUAUAUAUAAUUUGGCACAGUUGGGUAGCCACAAACAUGGUAGAUAAGUGCUGAAAGUAUAUCAAGCAAGAAUCUACCCCCUAGAUACUAACGAUUAUUUAUUUUUAAAAAUAGGUAUUCAAUAAGAUAAGAAAUAGAACAUUUCUUAGAUAGGAUGCAAAUGAAAGUGCUGAAAAGCAUUUAGUUUAGCAUUACUAAUUAAUCACAAGACUUUAUGUUAAGAUAUUCACAC